AAACUUAAAUGAAUUGACGGGGGCCCGCACAAGCAGUGGAGUAUGUGGUUUAAUUCGAAGCAACGCGAAGAACCUUACCAGGUCUUGACAUCGUGCGCAUUACCUAGAGAUAGGGAAGCCCUUCGGGGCGCAUAGACAGGUGGUGCAUGGUUGUCGUCAGCUCGUGUCGUGAGAUGUUGGGUUAAGUCCCGCAACGGGCGCAACCCUUACAGUUAGUUGCUACGCAAGAGCACUCUAACAGGACUGCCGUUGACAAAACGGAGGAAGGUGGGGAUGACGUCAAAUCAUCAUGCCCCUUAUGACCUGGGCUACACACGUACUACAAUGGCCGUCAACAGAGGGCAGCGAAACCGCGAGGUGGAGCAAAUCUCUAAAACGGUCUCAGUUCGGAUUGUAGGCUGAAACUCGCCUACAUGAAGUCGGAAUUGCUAGUAAUCGCGAAUCAGCAUGUCGCGGUG
rnacentral:rRNA from 1 species